AUCAAUUUCAAGCAGGGCUUCAGACAUCUGGACUUUCUUAUCAUCUUUAUACUCCCUUUUUUUCUUUAAUGCAGGACAACUCACAAAAUUCCCAGAAAAGCAGGACAACUUCUAUAUCAAGUCCUUCUGAAAAAGGAAUUCAAAGCUCCUCUUGAUGUCACAGAAGUCAGCACAACUCUCACUCCCAAUGUUUGAUACCAGGGGGAAAAAAAGACUUCCAAGGAAUAAUGUGGUGUUUCCAGCUUGUAUAGUCCCACCAAAACAAGCAGCUAUGCAAGAUUGCUUUCCAGCUUCAAACUGUGAUGUGUGGAGGAAAUAAAUUCCUGAUGUGUUGCUGGUUCAAAUCACUGGCCUCCAAGAGUCCUGUAGUUGGAAAUGCUGAAGACAGAAAUCUCUAAUGGGUCAUUUUGGACAGCCUCCUGCCAGGAUAUGAUUAAUCCCUCCGGAGCUAUGUUAGUGCUUGAUGAACAGCAAUGCUAUCUACAAGUGCACAAUGUUGUCCACAAACACAGAUGAGCAGAAAGAAGAUACUGGUGCCUGUGGUCAACAGAUACCUUCCUCUGUAGCCUCUGCUUUUAUUCUGUGUUGCCUUUAAUUUUAUUCCUCAUGUUGGAUGGACAGGAAAAAAAGGAUUAUUUUAGAUAGUCCAUAAGAGACCAAAGUCCUUAAUUUAUCAAUUGGUGUUGAUUUCAUUGUGUUUGCUUCUCAGACAUCUGCACGUUUCUGCUAAUGUGUUGUGGGAUUUUUUUUCUCUGAGUGUAUCUGUGGAUUUUGUAGGGUGGGAGAUCUUUGGUCACGUAUUAGUAGGCUUGGUGCAUCCCUCAAAAUAUGAGGGGUGAUUAUUUGAUCUCAUUUGAUCAACAGGUUGCUCCUGAUUCUUGAAAACUUAUGAGUUCUCACUCAUCUGAUUACACUACUGGCUGUUUUUCCAAUGAGAAGUUUCAAUAAGAUUGUUUCAGUCAGGGUGAAGUCUAUAAUCUUAAUUUUUGAGAGCAGUAGAGUGAUUUCUUGGAGUGAUGGUAAAUGUCUUUGUUACCUUCAAUAAGUGUUGGACCAGUUGGAGAAAUUUUUGAACCUACUGUUAAGAU